GGGGUUGGAGAGGAAGGCGAAUCGACCAGCGAACUACAGCAAAUUUAGGUCACACUGGUCUGCCUUCACCAACCCGUCAUCAUUCAUGCGGCAGAGCAUCGCACCGACGCACGCCUCAGGGAUACUCGUACUCUCAAGACCCGGUGAAUCGUGACGUAACUGUUCCUGUAAUUUCCGGCGCACCACUUCGUUUCGUACGGCAGCUGUGACGUCAUGGGUUCCGGUGAAGGCACAGGCGAAGGAUCUGGGCGCGGGGGUUUGUGCCCUGGUCUGCUGUGGGCCAUCCUCUGGUUCAUCAUCCUCAUCUUCCUCGGCUGGCCAAUUGGCUUCUUCAUCGCUUGGCUCUAUGUCCUCCUAUUGCCAUUCAGCGCAUGUAUCGAGCCGCUCAAGGGCGUGUGCGAAGCCAUCUUGAAAGUAGUGCAGCUUCCGUUGACAUGCGCUGAGAACAUGAUUGGCAUGAAACCUCUCUGCGGUUAACAAGGACUUCUUUAUUUUUUAUUUUUUUUUGUUGAAGAAAUCAAAUAUAUAUAUAUAUUCUUACAUAAACUCCUAUUGUUAUAGGUUUUCCUAUUUAGAAGUUUGACAUUUAUAGUUCAUAAGUUAUAUUAUAUAGAGAUAUUUUUCAAAUAAUUCGUCUUACCGCAAAUGCCUGUGCAAGCUGCAAAAUGUUACUUGAGACAUUGACAAACCACGUAGUCUCAGUAUGUCCUUGCCUUGUUUGCAUCCUUGCUACAUUGUGAAAUAUAGGUGAAGUGCUCAUUUCAUGGUUUUGUGAACUCCUAUUAUCCGAGGAAAUGUUACGUUACUCGUGGAAGUAUUUGUUGUAGAUUCACGGUUAUGUAAGUGUUGUGUUCUUGUAAUUAUGUUGAGUGUGUUAUAAUGAUUUCCAUGAGUGCAUGUGUGUGUAAAUGAAGCAUGUCUAAUCGUUGUGUUGUACUGUGUGUGUAUGUGUAUGGGGGUGUGUGUGUGUGGGGGUGUGUGUGUGUG